rnacentral:rRNA from 1 species
GAACGCUGGCGGCAGGCCUAACACAUGCAAGUCGGCGGUAACAUUUCUAGCUUGCUAGAAGAUGACGAGCGGCGGACGGGUGAGUAACGCGUAGAAAUCUACCUAGUAGUGGGGGAUAGCCCAGAGAAAUUUGGAUUAAUACCGCAUACGCCCUACGGGGGAAAGCGGGGGAUCUUCGGACCUCGUGCUAUUAGAUGAGUCUGCGUCGGAUUAGCUUGUUGGUGAGGUAAUGGCUCACCAAGGCGACGAUCCGUAGCUGGUCUGAGAGGAUGACCAGCCACACUGGAACUGAGACACGGUCCAGACUCCUACGGGAGGCAGCAGUGGGGAAUAUUGCACAAUGGGCGCAAGCCUGAUGCAGCCAUGCCGCGUGUGUGAAGAAGGCCUUAGGGUUGUAAAGCACUUUCAGCAGUGAGGAAAGGGGUGUCGUUAAUAGCGCCAUCCUGUGACGUUAACUGCAGAAGAAGGACCGGCUAACUCCGUG